rnacentral:misc_RNA from 1 species
GAUGAAGAACGUAGCGAAAUGCGAUAAGUAAUGUGAAUUGCAGAAUUCAGUGAAUCAUCGAAUCUUUGAACGCACCUUGCGCCCUUUGGCCAUUCCGAAGGGCAUGCCUGUUUGAGUAUCAUGAACACCUCAACUCUUUAUGGUUUUCCAUGAUGAGCUUGGACUCUGGGGGUUUUGUUGGCUCACAGUCGGCUCCUCUAAAAUGAAUCAGCUUACCAGUGUUUGGUGGGUAUCAUGGGUGUGAUAACUAUCUACGCUUGUGGUUUUUCCACCAGGUAACCUUCAGCAGUGGAGGUUCGCUGGAGCUCAUAGAUGUCUCUCCUCAGUGAGGACAGCCCUUUGAAUGUUUGAUCUCAAAUCAGGUAGGACUACCCGCUGAACUUAAGCAUAUCAAUAAGCGGAGGA